AGAGAGAGGGACAACAAACAGAUCCAGAUAGAGAGGGACAACAAACAGAUCCAGAGAGGGAGGGACAACAAACAGAUCCAGAGAGAGAGAGAGAGGGACAACAAACAGAUCCAGAGAGAGAGGCAGGGACAACAAACAGAUCCAGAGAGAGAGAGGGACAACAAACAGAUCCAGAGAGGGAGGGACAACAAACAGAUCCAGAGAGAGAGAGAGAGGGACAACAAACAGAUCAAGAGAGAGAGAGAGAGGGGGACAACAAAUAGAUCCAGAGAGAGAGGGACAACAAACAGAUCCAGAGAGAGAGAGAGACAACAAACAGAUCCAGAGAGAGAGAGAGAGACAACAAACAGAUCCAGAGAGGGAGGGACAACAAACAGAUCCAGAGAGAGAGAGGGACAACAAACUGAUCCAGAGAGAAAGAGAGGGACAACAAACAGAUCCAGAGAGAGAGGGACAACAAACAGAUCCAGAGAGAGAGGGACAACAAACAGAUCCAGAGAGAGAGGGACAACAAACAGAUCCAGAGAGGGAGGGACAACAAACAGAUCCAGAGAGAGAGAGAGAGAGGGACAACAAACAGAUCCAGAGAGAGAGAG
ensembl:lncRNA